rnacentral:ncRNA from 1 species
CAAUUAAUUUUAAAAAGGGACGAAUGGCAAACUAGGAUGCAUUAAUAAGACGGAAAAUCUGAAAAAUCGAGGGAGAAGCUUUGAACUCGAUUAUCUCAGGCGGAAACGCUGAAAAAGUAAGCUGGAAACUGAAACAUCUAAGUACCAGUAUAUAAAAGAAAUCAAACGAGACUCCGUGAGUAGCGGCGAGCGAACGCGGAAAAGUCCCACGAGUAAAUAGUGGAAGAUAGGUGUACACACAUCUAAGACUAAAUAUUAAUGCAUACCGAAAGAGAGAGUACUGUGAAGGAAAGUUGAAAGAGACUUGAAAAGAUCUUAAAAUGAGUCCCUUAAAGCAGUUGUAACACAACGUACCUUUUGUAUAAUGGGUUCACAAGACAAAAUUUGGCAAACUUAAGUGUUAAACGAAGGUGUAGUGAAACCAAGGGAAUACAUCCCUUGUAGUCAAAUUACCCGAAACCAAGUGACCUAGCCCCGGGCAGUUCAAAGGAACGAACCGGUAAUUGUAGCAAAAAUUUCGGAUGACCUGUGGCUAGGGGUGAAAGACUAAUCAAACUUGGAAAUAGCUGGUUUUCUGCGAAAACUAUUUAAGUAGUGCGCUCAAAAGCUUCAUUUUACAUGAUAAAGCUCAAUUGCUUUCUAAGCGAUUAACUCUGAAUGUUGAAAAUAAAGCUGAGCAGACAGACAGCGGGCGACAAGGUCCACUGUCAAAAGGGGAAAGCCCUAAUCAGAAGUUAAAGCCACAAAUUAAAACAGUCAAGUGUGAAAGGGGUGUGUAAUUUAGACAAUGAAAAAGUAGGCUUGGAGCCAGCCACCUUUGAAAGAUGACGUAAUAGUUCACUCAAGANAUUAUUCUACCUCUAAAAUUAUGGUGGCUAAAGUUAAGCUGAAACUCUGAAAGCUUAGGCUUGGUAGCAGAACGGACUGUAAAUUGGUUAGGCAAAAGCCAACCAUCAGAAGUGAUAAUGUGAACAUGAGUAAAAAAUCAUUUGAUCACUCCCCAAGGCUUCGACAUAAUAAAUGUCGUAUAAACAGCCCC